rnacentral:rRNA from 1 species
GCAAGUCGAGCGGUAACAUUUCAAACGCUUGCUUUUGAAGAUGACGAGCGGCGGACGGGUGAGUAAUGCCUAGGAAAAUGCCCUGAGGUGGGGGAUAACAGUUGGAAACGAUGGCUAAUACCGCAUGAUGCCUACGGGCCAAAGAGGGGGACCUUCGGGCCUCUCGCCUCAGGAUAUGCCUAGGUGGGAUUAGCUAGUUGGUGAGGUAAUGGCUCACCAAGGCGACGAUCUCUAGCUGGUCUGAGAGGAUGAUC